GUAUGUAUGGAUGGUAGGCCUGGACUCAAAUAUACGCUCAUGUUCACGUUCAUGUUCACGUUCAUGUUAACCACCUACUUGCACUAUCUCAAACAUGAAUAUGAGAUAAGACUAUAUUAUAACGAUAAAAUUCCACUAGACGUAUAGGCCUAUGUGUAGAGUUUAAAAAGAGAACAAUAUUUGAAUGUGGUGAAUCGGUCUGAUGAACGAUACGAUAGGCUACUACUUUAUUUGUCAGUAGGGCACUGAAAUUCAUUUUGCGUCUCUGAGAAGACCUCUCAAAACAUUUAGGACAGACAGGUAAACAAGGACAAAUGACACUUGACAUUACGGCACAGAGAUACACAAGCAGCACAGAUGACAGAUUAUGCAAGCACACGUGUUAACCGGAAAGACACAAGUACAGACACAUGACAUGGCACAAUCGAUGGACUCUGAAACGCCUAUUUGAAGGCAGGAGCUGAUAUUCAUUUUUCAAGACAUGUGUGCAGUCAGAGGAAAUAUUUGCGGCAAGCCUCAACGUGCUGUUUUAAGCAUAUUAUACAAUUUACUUUUAUUUUUCACUGUGAGGUUGCUCAACCAGGCGUGCUACAGUAGAGCAUAAUGCUCUGAAUUACAGAGGUAAAAAAUAGAAAAAUAAUUUGGCUACUGGCCUCAAAUGAUUUUAGCCUACGGAGAAAAUAAAUGCGCUGCUGUAUCCUUUUACCAAGAAAAUCUAUGUGAGGGGUCCAAGAGAGGUUCGCAUCUACCAUGACACCUAAGUAUUUAUAUGCAGAAACUUGAUUAAUUUCAUCAUUGUGGAUUUUCACUUUGAGGAAUUGGCAGGUUGGGGGCUUACCGAAAAACUAUUUCCUCUGUCUUCACUGAAUUAAUAAUAAGGGUGUUCUUGUCACACCAUUCCACAAACCAAUCAACAUUUCUCUGAUACAGCGUGGGAUCAUCAGUCUUUUUCAGCAUAGUCAACAGGGUGGAGUCAUCAGAGUAUUUGAACAGAGACUGGUUGGGUACCGAGGAGGCGCAGUCUGACGUGUGGAGUGUGAACAAUACAGGGUCACACUCACAGCCUUUGUGGUGAAGCUCAGAGAAAAUGAACAUUCGAGAAAUCCUCCUAAACUCUCUGGAGGAACUGGGAUCCAAUGACUUCAAAAAGUUCCAGUCGUAUCUCUCGGACUCGGGCCAAAUAGACUUUAAACCUAUUCCCAAGAGCUUCCUUGAGGACCCACUGGAGCACGUGACCGUGGACCACAUGGUGGAGCGCUACGGCCAUGGCCGAGCCGUCACCGUCACACUGGGGAUCCUGAGGAAGAUGAACCUCAACGAAAACGCAAGGAAGUUGGAGGAAAAAACCCGGUGUGGUUCAGCAAAGGAAGUUAAAGACCAACUCAAACCCACUGAACAAGUGGAGUGUACUGCUGCCCCACCAUCAACUCCCAGGGGCAGCGUUUCUGUGUCUGCUAAUCACAGUGUGGUCUUGCUGCCUACACUUAACCACAACCACUGUUCUACUGGCUCAAUCAAUUUCAACAUCAACAUCCAAAAAUAAAAACAUGCCAUUUGGUUUUGUAAUGUAAAUUAAUAAACUUUUAUACCUUUUAAAGAAUUGUUGUGUUUAUGACAGGGCUGCAAUUUGAUGGGACGCAUCAUCUUUUUUUCAAGAUAGUCUACUUUGAAUAGCACAGGGUAAUCCCUCUUCUAACACACUUUGACAAAUUGCAGGGAAAUGGGUCUCGAAUAGUUGAAGUGUAAGUAAACAUUACAAGCACUGAUUGUAGCGACCAAAAUGGUUUAACGUCUCAUAAAAUCGAUAGGCAACACAUAAUCAUUGCUCACAAAGUGUUGAUUCUUCUCGCCAUCCGUAUGGGGUCCGAACAGUCUCAUUAAUAAUGAAUGCACGGAGAAGGAUUCACAAAUGUAUUUUGUGAUUUGUGUUUAAAUUACUCUCUUCUCACAUAUACAAUUCAAUGCCCACACAAAUGGAUAUCGGUAUGUAUAAAUGUAAAAUAAAUCCAUAAACAAAAAUAAGUUUCACAAACACAUUUCUGAUCCACACACAAAUGUGCCUUGUUUUAAAUAAAUGUAAUAUA